AUGCAACGGACGAUAUCGUUGAUUCUCAACAAGAGGCAACAAUAAUUCAGUUCUCCCAUCAUCCAAUGACUAACUGGUCCAAUGGCCUUCAUCCUCGUCUUCGAGCUCUCAGCUUCGUACGCGAUAUACAAUAUACAAGUUGUCUUAGCAAGCUUCGGCCACGCUCCAAUUGGUUGCAUUAACCAGCGAUUCACCUGGAUGCUGUAUUCAAAAUCACGAGCGUAAAUAACGUUGGAUAUCCGUGGUUCGCUAGUCAAUUCCAACAUGAUUACUUCGCGGAGGUCGUUUGUAGAGUGACUUACUCAAGUUUCAGGUACCUGUUCAGCAACUAAUUCUCCUAUAUAACAAAAUAUAAAAAUGUUGAAAGUGAACGAUGUCAUUAAGGCCAUGUGAGUUAUUGAAAGCAUUAUGUCUUUCGAAUUCCAUUCCUGCAACAUCAUAUAACACUCUGUGUUAAUAUAGCACAUUUUACUGUACGAGCGUCUUGCAUGUGUGGCAACAGGUUGAAGGAAUCAAUUUCUAUGGGGAAACUCUUCAGUCGGGGAAACUUCUCACAUUUCCUAACAUAUCUUCAGAUCCAGCUCGUCAAAACCUGCAUCUGGCCACAUGCGUGCACCGCAAAUAUAGCAGCUAAACUACAUGCCGCUGACGUAAUACUAUGCAU